CGGUAACAGGUCUUCGGAUGCUGACGAGUGGCGAACGGGUGAGUAAUACAUCGGAACGUGCCUAGUAGUGGGGGAUAACUACUCGAAAGAGUAGCUAAUACCGCAUGAGAUCUACGGAUGAAAGCAGGGGACCUUCGGGCCUUGUGCUACUAGAGCGGCUGAUGGCAGAUUAGGUAGUUGGUGGGGUAAAGGCUUACCAAGCCUGCGAUCUGUAGCUGGUCUGAGAGGACGACCAGCCACACUGGGACUGAGACACGGCCCAGACUCCUACGGGAGGCAGCAGUGGGGAAUUUUGGACAAUGGGCGAAAGCCUGAUCCAGCAAUGCCGCGUGCAGGAUGAAGGCCCUCGGGUUGUAAACUGCUUUUGUACGGAACGAAAAGCCUGGGGCUAAUAUCCCCGGGUCAUGACGGUACCGUAAGAAUAAGCACCGGCUAACUACGUGCCAGCAGCCGCGGUAAUACGUAGGGUGCAAGCGUUAAUCGGAAUUACUGGGCGUAAAGCGUGCGCA
rnacentral:rRNA from 1 species